UUGACUCGAGGGUAGCCCCAUGUGGGCACUCUUGGUCUGACGGCCAAUUUCGAAAUUGUUGUUGAGUUUUUGUUUUGUGAUGUCCCCAGUUAGUGAAGUUAGUGAUGUCCACGAAAAUUCAGGGAAAGAAGGCAUCGUUUUAAAAGAUGUAAUCUGGAAGAGUGCCGGACGAUAGUUUAAGGCACACGAUGACCGAUAAUGAGUCGCACUUCUCAGGGCAAAACGUUAGUUACGUUUACGUUAUUCCAUAUAGUCUAUGACAAUGUUGUUUUGUUGAAACAUGUUGUUGACCGUAUCACCAAACACUUGGCUUAAAAUUGAAGAACCAACCCAUUGGCUGCAGAAAACCCCAUAGUUCUCUCCACUGACCGUAAGAAUUUGUUGUUACCCACUUUUUAUGUUUGUUUGUUAACCAUUGUUGCUGUGUUGUUGAAGCUGUUGAGUUUUUGUUAAGUUUGGGCAUCAAAUGCUCAACCCGUUUUGUUAUUUGUUAAGUUUUUAAAACCAUCCACCCUUUUCCACCCGUUGUUGCCGUUCCGUAUUUGUUAAGUUUAAGUUAUUUGUUUCACUGCUUUACGCAUUCUGUUACGUAUCUGUUCACCGUUCUGUUGCAUCAGUUUCUGUUAUAUAUCUGUUCUGUUUUCCUGUUACAUUUGAACCACGUAUUUUGUUAUUCUGUUACGUUUGAAACCCGCCGUUUGUUACAGUACAAGCUGUUUCUGUUUUCUUUGAUUUUCUGUUAUACUCCGGAUUCUGUUACAAACUGCAUUUGUUAAUACAGUUUAAUCAUUUUAAUUGACUCUAUCAAGUCAUUAUCAAGUGAUAAUUUACGUAUGCAACUUAUGUCGCAAAGUUUUAAAUUGAUUAAACAUUUGUUUAGUUGUGUUUCCCGUUACUGUUAUCUUAUUAAUUGUUAUAGAAAUCCGUUACUAAAAAUCAAAUGCCAUAAAUAUCCGAAAGGUCUCGUUUAACCUUCCGAAUUAGAAAAAAUAAAUUACAUAUAAAUCAAAUUAAAAUGCCAUUACAUUUUAUAAAAAGCAAAUCCAUUUUAAAAGUAAAAAAAUCAAUUAACUGUUACUGUUACUAAAAAAGAAAUAUGUUAUUUGUUAUUAUUCGUUGUUAUCAUAUUGUGUUAAACAAAUCGCUGAGCUCUUAUAUUUGUUUUACUAAUUUUUUUUUCAUCUAAGUCUGUUGCCAAUAAUAACAAGUUUGGGGGUCAUUAAAUAUUAAAAAGAAAAAUGUAUUAUAAUGUUGUUUAUUACUUUUGUCUAACAACAAUACUAAAGUAAGCCUUCUAUUUUGUUUAUCCAAAUUGCAUACUAAUUUCUCUAAACCAACCAUAUUGCAGUAAACACACCAAGUGCUUAUUUAUAAUUGACAUGGAAAAUUAAUUACGGCCCAUCUGAAGACAUUCUUAUUAUUAUUAAUAAUAUAAAUACUUCUCAAUAAAUUUUAUUUAUUUUUGGAAUUAUUUUUUGCAUGGUAUUCGAUUUUUAUUUUAUUUUUUUACAUAUUUUUCUGUAUUGAUAUUCGAAUGAAUGCAUGUUGAUCAAAAUUACCGUUUUUCUUUAUUUUUUAUUUGUUUAUUUUUUAUUAUUUAUUUUGCAUGUUUUUUUCAAGUUCUGUUUUUAUUUAUUUAUUUUUUAUUAUUUAUUUUGCAUGUUUUUUCAAUUUCUACUUUUCAACAAUCUAAUGAAUGCAUGAUUAAAAAAUUCCUUUUUCAUUUAUUUUAUAACAUGUUUAUUUUUGCAUCUUUUUUAUUUUUCAUUUUUAUUUAUUUUAUUAUAUUUCAUUUUUAAUUUCUGUUUUUUUUGCAUGCACAUAUUUUUAGUUUACUUUUUAUCUAUUUUAUUUUUAUUUUUUUGUUUAAAUUUAAUUUAUUUUAAUUUCUGCUUUUUGCAUGCAUAUGUUUUUUAUUUAUUUAUUUUUAUUAAUCCAAAAUGAGUAAAAUAUUCUACAACAAAAUUUAAAAAGUAAUCGAUAAUUAGAAGGCGAAAAAUUAUAGAAACAAUAAUUUUAUGAAAAGUAAAAUGAAGAUGAGAGCUCAUUUAUAAAGAUGCUAAUGUUAGUGAACACAAAUAAAUUGCAUAAUCAACAAUAUGCUAACUACCAAAAAAAAUUUUACCUUUUUUACUAUUUAUUUAACGUUAAUUUUUAUUUCUCCUUUAGUUCAUUUUGUUUUAUUUUAUUUUAUUUUGUUACUUUUAUGUUUUUUAUUUUCGUGUGUUUUACCAAAAGAACCAAUGAAUUGAAAGAAAAACAAAAAAAAAAAAAAUAAACACCUCACGGUUUAUAUUAAUUUUUUACAUUUCAGUUUCAUUUCACUUUAUUAUUUGUGAGGUUUUUUAUUUAGUUAACCAAAAAUUAUAUUUUAUUUUGGUCAUUAUUAUUUUAAUUUCGCAGGAAAAUGGAUCUGUUUUUAUUUUAAUUUUAUGUUUUUAAUUUCGUGUGUUUUACCAAAAGAACCAAUGUUAUAAAAAAAAACAAAAAAAAAAUACCUCACAUUUCUUUUAAUUUUGUAUUAUUUUAUUUUUCAUUCAUUAAUUUCAAAAAUACAUGUGGGGUUCUUUAUUUUAUUAAUACAAAAUUAUGGUUUAGUUUUCCAUUAUUUUUUAUUUUUGCAGUCAAAGUAAUAUUCAGGAAUUUUUUGUCAAAAAAUAAUAUAAUAAAUAAAAUUUUAUAUAAUAAUUUUGUGUGUGACAAUUAAUUUUAAGACAAAAAUUUGUAUGUCUAAAUUCAGUAACGUAAGGUUUCUUUAAUUUUAAGUUUAUUAGGUUUAAGGUAUAUAUGUAUCUAAUCGUAUUUUCUAUGUCUUAGUAUCAUGUUUAGUUUAGUAUUUAAGAUUCAUGUAUUGGUUACCGUGUGCCUUAUUUUGUAAAUUUGUAAUUGCUUCUUAUAAUUUUUCAUUUAACAAGAUUUAUUCUUUUGGAAAAGUACACGGAAAAUUUCAAAAACUGGCUAACAUGUUAAUUGUUUGACUAGCCCUUUCUGAUUUUUUCUGUGUCAUCCAAAAGAACGAAUUUUUAUAUGUAUGUGUUGUUAUAUUUUCGUUGAUUUUUUGUUGUAUAUUUCACAAAAGGGCAGUACACUUGAGAAAAGUACAAGACAUCAUACCAAACAAUAGUUGUAUUUUAUCAUGUGUCUAAAAUUCGAAAUUGUGUCACAUUUUUGUUUUCUUAUUAAGUUUUUGUUUUGUUUUUGUUUUAUUUUGAUUUAUAUAAUUUAUUUUUGUUAUUGUUUUUAUUAUUUUUCUGUAUAUAUUGUACAUAGCAUUGUAUAUAAUAAAGAGGAGCUUAAUUGCA